ACAAGGAAAAAAGACAGAGGAAGAUAAAGAAGAAGGUCACCAUGAGUCAGGAUGGACCAUGACCACAUGGCCAAGAGAAGCUCACCCUGAGGAUGAACAUGGAGGAGAGCAAGCUGGGAGAGACUCAAAAUAUACAGCGUGGCUGCAUCAUUUUUUCAAUUAAGCAAAUGGUUUUGGAGAGCUGGGAGUGUGGUCGGAUGUUAGUUCACUUGCCUAGCGCGUCCAAGACUCUGGAUUGAAGCUUCGUCACCACAACAAACAAACAAACACCAGGAAAAAUUUAAAUGGAUACAUUUUGCUAAGGCAAAGCUGGAUAACCAGAAGCGGAAGAAGAUGCAGCAGGAGAGAAACAGUGGACCCUCUGGGGAUCAAGAGGAAGCAACAGCCCCAGCUUUUCCAGUUUGACUGUGAUUGCCCAUUUUUGUGAACUUUGUCCAGCUUUCUAAAAGCCACACAUUGGCAGGAAGUAUAAAACAUGCUUUGGACCAAAAACUGAAAAUAGUUGUCCUCCUAUAACUAAAGAAGUGCCGAGACCAUAAGGUGACUGCAAGCAGAUGUCUCUGCAGAAGUAUAUAACCCACA
ensembl:lincRNA